AUUGAACGCUGGCGGCAGGCCUAACACAUGCAAGUCGAACGAGUGGCGGACGGGUGAGUAAUGUCUGGGAAACUGCCCGAUGGAGGGGGAUAACUACUGGAAACGGUAGCUAAUACCGCAUACCAUCGGAUGUGCCCAGAUGGGAUUAGCUAGUAGGUGGGGUAACGGAUCACCUAGGCGACGAUCCCUAGCUGGUCUGAGAGGAUGACCAGCCCCACUGGAACUGAGACAAGGUCAAGACUCCUACGGGAGGGAGCAGUGGGGAAUAUUGGCCAAGGGGCGCAAGCCUGAUGAAGCCAUGCCGCGUGUAUGAAGAAGGCCUUCGGGUUGUAAAGUACUUUCAGCGAGGAGGCGUUACUCGCAGAAGAAGCACCGGCCAACCCCGUGCCAGCAGCCGCGGUAAUAC
rnacentral:rRNA from 1 species